rnacentral:lncRNA from 1 species
CCAUCAUUCAUUACGCCUAGAAGGGCCAUUUAUACGGUAACCUGGGCUGCUAGUAUAUGAAUCAUAAUAAAUAACUUUAAUUGAUAGGCAUUUCGCAGUUUAUUUAACAGUGGUGGUUUGGUGACUGACACAUGAAAGGGUGGAGGCUCGGGCGUGGCGUCUCGUCGUGUUAAUAUAGUUGAGUAGUGCAGAAGAGGGACCAUUGCGGCUCCUAGCACUAUGGCACCGUAUGUCGGCUUGUGGACCAACCUGAAAUAAAACGGGAAGUUUUUAUUAAAACCUUGUUCUACAAAUGUUAUGCCAAUUAAAUAAUUUAUGUUUUA